UACAGAGGGUGCGAGCGUUGUUCGGAAUUAUUGGGCGUAAAGCGCGUGUAGGCGGGAUGGCAAGUCGGGUGUGAAAGCCCUCAGCUCAACUGAGGAAGUGCGCCCGAAACUACUGUUCUUGAGUAUCGGAGAGGGUGGCGGAAUUCCCGGUGUAGAGGUGAAAUUCGUAGAUAUCGGGAGGAACACCAGUGGCGAAGGCGGCCACCUGGCCGAAUACUGACGCUGAGGAGCGAAAGCCAGGGGAGCAAACGGG
rnacentral:rRNA from 1 species